AGCGAACGCUGGCGGCAGGCCUAACACAUGCAAGUCGAACGAACCUUUCGGGGUUAGUGGCGGACGGGUGAGUAACACGUGGGAACGUGUCUUUAGGUUCGGAAUAACUCAGGGAAACUUGUGCUAAUACCGAAUGUGCCCUUCGGGGGAAAGAUUAAUCGCCUUUAGAGCGGCCCGCGUCUGAUUAGCUAGUUGGUUGAGGUAAUGGCUCACCAAGGCGACGAUCAGUAGCUGGUCUGAGAGGAUGAUCAGCCACAUUGGGACUGAGACACGGCCCAAACUCCUACGGGAGGCAGCAGUGGGGAAUCUUGCGAAAUGGGCGAAAGCCUGACGCAGCCAUGCCGCGUGAAUGAUGAAGGUCUUAGGAUUGUAAAACUCUUUCACCGGGGACGAUAAUGACGGUACCCGGAGAAGAAGCCCCGGCUAACUUCGUG
rnacentral:rRNA from 1 species